AUUGAAUGCUGGCGGCAGGCUUAACACAUGCAAGUCGAGCGAGAGGCGGACGGAAGAGUAAUGAUUGGGAAACGUCCUGAGGGAGGGGGAUCACUACUGGAAACGGUAACUGAUACCGCAUACCAUCAGAUGUGCCCAGAUGGGCUUAGCUAGUGGGUGGGGUAAUGGCUAACCUAGGCGACGAUCCCUAGCUGGUCUGAGAGGAUGACCAGCCACACGGGAACUGAGACACGGUCCAGACUCCUACGGGAGGCAGCAGUGGGGAAUAUUGCACAAUGGGCGAAAGCCUGAUGCAGCCAUGCCGCGUGUGUGAAGAAGGCCUUCGGGUUGUAAAGCACUUUCAGCGAGGAGGCGUUACUCGCAGAAGAAGCACCGGCUAACUCCGUGCCAGCAGCCGCGGUAAUAC
rnacentral:rRNA from 1 species